CUGUGCUUCAAGAGGCUUGAUUACGAUAAUAACAGCAGCACCGAAAACAAAGGAUCAAGUCAGUUUGCGUGGGGAGCGUUCAGAUCCAGAGCCUUACUCUGAUUAAGACAAGGGUGUUUUAGCAGCAUGUAAUAUCAGAGGGAAUGUUAAUAACAGCAUGAAGAGUCACGCAGCGCCACAACUCGAAAAAACACAACAAAAAGGGUCUCUAAUUACACCGCAAAGUGCAUGUAGUUCAUGCGACUGUGUAGACGUGACAAACUGCACAUUAAUGUUAACGUUAAACUGAUUUACUGCGGCGUUUUGCUGGUGGGGAAGGUGUACGUUUUACAAUUAUACGACUUUUUGUUUUCGUUUCCCUCGUAAAUGAGUCAAGUGUGCCUCAUCAAGAACCAAAGAGAAGCCUGCAGGGUUACAAAGUCGCAGCUCCAAUCACUAAAAGCCAAGUUUCCAUGGGAGAAAAUGACCUGAUAUUGUUUGCUUUGUUGAUUCUGAGGCCUGCUGAUUUAAUUUCCAUGGUAUUGUUUUCCAGAAGCAAGUUUUUACAGUAAAUGGGUCUCAAAGCUAUUGUUGUUGUUCUUGCUGUACCGUGUUUACAAGAAGACAAAAUAUUCCAGGCCUCUAUAAAAGGAAGUAGUAUUCGAGGCACAUUGUUUAGGAGUGCGACAAACCCCUCAGGACAUGCGAGAGGUUCAUCAUUAAUGGGAAAUGUUGUGUUUCGUGGUCAUUUGGAGCCAUGCCAUCAUGUGCUGUUACCUUUUCUUGCCUGCUUAGGGUUUUUCCUGAAAAGGAUGCACCCUAGCGUGAGCCACACAUCUCCUAGACCUAAUCCUGCACCCAUCAACCGUUUUCUCCCUUCCAGCAGCAGGCGUACGUGUCAGCCGUGAGAGGGUCCUCAUGUUUGCUGAGGUCAAAGUCAUCUGUCAAAGCGGCGAGAUGGCUGGCUGGCUCCAUGGAGGUAAUUGGAAGCAUUGCUGCCUUCUAGGAGGAAGCCUGACAAAAAAAAAAAAAAAAAAAAUGGAAAAAAAAAAUCUUGCCAUGUGUCAGGGAAGUUCGCUCCGAAAAGCGAGGGUGCUCGCUCCUCUGAUUGUCGACUAAACUCAAAAACAAACAUAGAAACACACACAAUGGUACAAAGAGACACACAGCUGUUAUCAUGUACAGCAACAAUCACAGACUGUUGACAAUAUUCACUUCAGAUUACAUAACCAAUGUAUACAGGAAGCUUUUAUCUGCCAACCCAGAGAGCAGAGCAGUCAACAGCUGCAGGGACAUCUAAGUGCAAACUCUUAAUUGAAGGCUGAACUCUGUGGUUGUUGCUGUCAGCGUGUGCAUGACUAAAGCGGUGGAGAAAAAUAUGACAUAUUUGUUUCUUAAAAAUCCCUCUCUGAGAUUUUAAAGCUCCACACCAGGGAUAGCUUCCAAUCACGUUUCAAGGCCAAUUCUAUGGUUGCCUGGAUACAGACCGUCAUAUAAGGCGGAUUUCCAGUCACGCUUUAUGAAUAGACCGCUGAGCCCUGGAUUGGAGAUCCAGGAGCUAGUUUGCCAUCGUCCGUUUUAAUUCCCCUUUUUUUAGACCCAGGAAAGGAUGUUGUUUUUCUUGACCUCUCUGUGCAUUUACCUGAUAGUGAGCACAAUAUAUCAGACGCUGGUAAACAGUUGGUGUUAGAGGUUGUGCAUCCAGUUAAGACUGGUUAUGUUGGGGUAUGGACAUUUAUAGAGCCUGAAGUCUUUGAUUUAAAAGGAAUUUCCCAACAGCGAGUUUACAUUUCUAAGAAGGGACAAUAUCGUGUGAAAAACAGUAACAAACUUUUGAGCCAUCUCCAGGUCGGAUAUGUUCGGAGCUGAUCCAUUAUUCAGUUAUCACUCAUGAACUACAAUCAGUGUUCUACAUUUCCAGCUAUAUUGUUGCAUUAUAGAUUAUGUGGGAAUGAAUAUUGACGUAUGGAAAUGAUGAUGUGAAAUAUUCCGUACCAUCUGGCUCUGUUGUUUUUGUUUUGAUCAAGUUUUUUUAAACUGUAUAUCCCGGUGUAUAUAUAUGACUGUAUUUAUAUGAAAGUGUGGUAUGACUGCAAAAUUAAAUCAGUGGAAUACACUUGGAUUAUAUCAGAAAAGUGAAAAAAAAAUUAUCUUGUUUUCCCUUAUUGUAUCUGUGAUUACUUUGGGGUCUCUUAAAUACAGUGUUAAAUAUCGCCCUUUUCAGUCUCCAUACUCAGCCCCCUCAAACCUGUCCCAUUCUCCUAGAUACAGUUUUCCCCAUGUCUCUCACUUCUGCUCUUCUAUGAGCCCACUUGACAUUGUGCCCCCUAGAUUACUCUGUAAACUUCCUAUCACGUGUAAGCUCCUGUAAAGGUUGCUUUCAAUCGACUUCUGGAGGUGGUUAAAGGAAAUUAUGUUUUUGAUAAACACCAAUCAAGCUUUUGACAGAAUCACAGUACUGAGACAGUUUUGCUGAGGGUCAAAGCAACUACAAAUGGCUGUUUUAAAUCUUUUAGAUUUGUCAGCAGCUUUUGACACAGUUGAUCUUAUGGAUCGUCUGGAAAAAUCAGGUGUUGCACUAAACAGUUUUCUUCCUAUAUAUCUAAAUUCUUAGUUUCUGUGAAGAGAAGGUUUCCUGCAGGGUGCGUCAGGGGUCAAAUCUUGGUCCUAUCCUUCUUUCUUUGUAUAUACUCUCCUUACCUGAUCCAGCAGUUUGGCUGUGUGUCCUACCGUUGCUACACUGAUGAUACACAGCUAUACGUAUCUGUUAAACCCAAUGACCUCUCAAAUCUAUCUACUCUCUACAAAUGUUUGGCAGAAAUAGGAAACUAGAUGUCCCUCUAUUUUCUUCACUUAAAUCACAGAAAGACAGAUCAGUUGUUUUUUUGCCCUGGAUCAAUUAACCACAAGUAUCCUCCAACAACCUGGUUCAUAGCCAAAUCCUCUUCCAAAAACCCGAGUCACCUUUGACUGCCUGAGGAAAUUUACAAUUGUGUUAAGACAGAUAUUCAAUCUUGUUGCUUUCACCUGAGGAACACUGACAAAAUACGCUCCCUGUUAUCCUUCCAGCAGUUGGAAAUGGUUAUACAUGCCUUUAUAUACUCUCGUUUAGACUACAGCGGACUCUGUUGACUGCUUUAAGUCACAGUUAACGGCCUGUCUAUCUGCAUUGUUUCUAUUUGGUCGCUUCUGUUUUGUUCGUAUUGUACAAAUCCUGAAACUUCCCUCUUUGUCUUUUGUUUUAUUUAUUAUAUGUUUGAUCCUUUUUGUAAAGCAUAUUGUAACUCAGGUUUUGAAAAUGCGCUAUAUAAAUAGAGUUAAACUUCUCACUGAUUGUUCUGGCCUUUCAUAGCUUUCCCAGUAUCCGUAAAAGAAGGCGGUGAGGUAGUGCGGUGAAAAAAUCACUUCAAACCCAGAUCUUUUCUUCUCCAGCAGUUAAAAAACCGAGAACAGACUGAACUUCAAUUAUAGAAGAGGCAGAAACUACUUUGACAUGUCGACAGUGGGAACUGAAUUGAACUACCAAGCUUCAGCGUUAAGGUCAACCUGCUCCACCAAUGAGCCAAAUCAAGUAGAGCUCCUUUGUUGUAGAUUUGAAUGGAAGAAGGCCCGACAGAAUAGUCUCUCAUGUACUGAACUUGGACAUGUUUUUAUGGUCGCUUUUAGCUCUGGAGCAGCUCGGUGAGAUCUUACUUGUAUCAUAACCUUAUACCUGUAAGUUUCUCAGCUGAACCCCUGCCUGCUGUGGUCCUGAAUAUUGUAAUCCCCACUGUUUCAUUUGCUUAGCCAUUAAUAUAAGGCCUCAAAAUGCACGGGGAGUCUCACAUCCCUCUCCUCUCUUUCAAUAUUUGCUGAAAGGAAUGCAAAUUGACUUUCUAAAGUUGUACCGACUGACCUUCAAAGACUUUGGAUCCUAAAUUGUGCAAAACCAUGAAGUCAUUACUCUAUUAAUUAACGCUGACCUUGUCUACUAGUGGAGUGGGUUUGGCUGGCGAGAUGAAAUGAAGGACUUGUCAACGUCCGUGAGAAUAAGUGACUCAUCUAUAUAACGGCUGAUAAAACCAGAAACUGAGUCAGCUAAAUCUGACACAUGAUCAUAGUGUCUGAGCCUCAAAUUUAACUGUAAAUGUAAAUGAAUGAAAAGAGGAACACCUACAUGCUAGGUCAGUGAAAACCUCCGCAUGUGAAAUACAAGAUCUUCUGGUGCAAAAGCUUUUGCAUAAAUUGAGUUUUGACACUGUGUCCUGCUUUAAUAUAAAACAAUGCUAAUGUGUCAGUUGACCCUGCUGAUAAGAUAGAUUUAUGUGGUCCCUUUUCUGCAAGAUAACCCUGAGUAAUCCCUACUUUCUUCACUCCUUUUUCCUUUUUUUUUCUUGUGACUUUAUUUGAGAAAUAGCCAAAGAGGCAAACAUCACAUAUACAAGGUUGACCAGGACCCUGCGGAGAUGUUCCUUGACCGAUUAGGAAUCUCUUGACUUUGCUGUGAUUGAAGGUCUUUUCCAACCCUUUUGAUUUUGCUCAGCAGGCAUGUUCUGGAUUUCGAGAUGAGAAUGAAGCUCAGAGGCCCUAAGUGAGAUGACGUGGAGAGCUACGACCUUCAUACAAACGCAGGCAGCGGUGGGCUUGUGGGAUGUGGAUGCUCACAGGUGGGCCGCCUGGCUGGACGAGACUUCAAUAAACACCUGCAGCUCUCUCUUCAGGCCUUCUCAUUCAAUCUCUUUUGGUUCAGUGGAGAGUGGGUCAGGAGAGAGAGAGGGAGAGAGAGAGAAUGGUGGGGAUGGGAAGACAGGGGAAAAGGAAGUCACAGAUAGCAAACAAAAGGUACGUAGGGGUGAGUUUGUGUGAUUCCUCCACUCGUAAAAAAAAGGGAACUGAUACAACAAAUUCAAGGAAGCCUCAGGUUGUUAUGGUUACCACAGACACCUGUGUGCUGCCUUCAGCCAGCUGGCCAGCGUGUGGGCAUUUAGGUAGAAACUACCUGCACCAAAGAAAGCUCACAAAACAGUUAUUUGAAACCAGAUGAGAGCGUAGAGAAGUCACUUCACAGCUUCCUUUGAUCGAAACCAUCCAGCCCAGUUGAAUAGCCUCACUGGCCAAUAAAUGGGUUUUUGCACAGCUGUUCGUGACUAGCUCUUCUUUAAUGCAUGUUUUCAUUCAGGUUCACCUGCUAUUAAUAGUCAACCUUCAUCAUUGUUAGUGAAGAUAUUUCUCUGCUAUUGGCUGCUGUCCAGACUUUUACAGAAGUGGUGCACAGGUGAGGUCAGGCAAAAGGACUGCUCUGACAAGUACAGACAGUUUUAUGUAGCUCAGGUAAUCGAAUUUAGAAAUAUGUCCAACAGGUGAUUUUGACAAAACAUCACUUUGCAAAGCCAACUGCUGUCAGUCCCUGAGUGCAUGGACUUAUGAGAUAACAUGGGUUCAUUGUCUUAAGAGACCAAGUUAUUGGAUGACUUUAGACAGAAAAAAUAAAUCACAACUGAAACCAGAGGGAUCGACUUUGGGAAUUGAAGAACAAAUUGAACAGCUGUGAGUGAAAGUGGCAAAACUGCUCAAAUUUUCAUCCUUAAAAACAACGAUAGCAGGCCUGUUUAUUUUCAUACUCACACAAAGGUUUUCCUUUAGCAUUAUACUUUGUUUUAGUACCUUGAGGAACACCACGAUUUCUAAAAGUAGCAGUAGAGGAUCAAUAAAGUUCUUCUUCUUCUGCUUGUGCUCUGGCCAAGUACAAAUUCUAGCCAGAAUCGUUCAGUUGGUGAUACAAGCAUGAAAAUUGGCAUGAACAUUCUCCAUGGGUCACUUGACUUGAAAAGUGUCCCAGACAUUUGAAAUUUCAAGAUGGUGGUCAUUUUUCUUAUUAAGUUACUCAUGGGGAAUGGUCUUACCAAUUUUCAUGUUUAUAUCACCAACUUUACAUCAUUUAACUGCUUUAAUGAGAUGGCGGACAUCUUAAAAAUGGCGGCCACUAAGAAUGCUCAUGCCAAUUUUCAUGCUUGUAUCACCAACUAAAGGAUUAUGUCACUUAUCUGUUCCACUAUCCUUCUUAUUCUUCUUGUUCUUGUUCUUCUUCUUCUUAUAUUCCAGUGUAAAAUUAAUUAUGAAGUUAGGUGCUGUUCUGAGCAUUAUUUGUGGCUAUAAAGUGGCGUUUUGGUUGAGGUUUGUUUAUGGCUCCUCAGACCGCUGUGUAUUGCUAUCCUGCGGUCAUUACUAAAGUUUGAAAACUAGAGAAGCAAGCAGUCAGCAACAUUCAUCUCUCGAGGGGGUGUCUAACUCGGUGUUAUGAUGUGUUUGACCCUAGAUUAAUUUUACGCCAGAAUAUCCCUUUAAAUACAAGAAAAGGUUAGGAAGCUCAGCGAAGAUGGGAUGUGACUAAGGCUGUGAAGUCAUUGCAAAUCACCUAGGAGAUGGGUACAUGUGGCCUUACCAUGGUGACUACUGGUUGCGGUAUGUUUAACAGAAAAUGAGUGCUUUCUCCUCACCUUCAAGGCUGUUAGUCAUUAUGCCCCUGAUACUCCACUUAAACAGUGGAAGCAGCUGAGUGUAUAAUGCACUGCUUGUCUUUGUUAGAAGAGGCAUGAAGCAUUAACAAGUGUUACCCAACAACUGCAUGAUACUGCACUUUAAUAAACUGACUCAUGGAUUAUCACACUUGUUUUUCAUAAAGACUUCCUUUUUUUACUACACCCCCUUAAAAAACUAGCUUAUCAUUAACCUCAACCCCCUGCAACAUAGAUGAAAACACACACGCUCAAAUCCACUCAUUACACUAUUUGAUCAAACUUUCGGCAUGUUAUUCUUUUAACCUUUAAGAUCCUUUGCACUGUGCGGCUCAGAUCCGCAAAGACGAGAGGCUCGAGGAUAAUGGCUUUGUAAGCUUUCUGAUGUACUGUGAUUCUCUCCUGCACAAACGUAAUUACGGCGUGACAGCAGGGAGAAGCCCUCACAAAGGCCUGAUAAUCAGAGGCUGGUGAUCAGAGCAUGCAGCUCAUGACCAGAAGAGGCAGUGACGCUGAAAAGUAAUUAAAGUCACCCACAGAGUGGAGCCAUGCAAACUGCACUCCCAGCUUGCUGCAACACCCGCUCAUGACUUCUGGCUGUUCUUUUAUUCCUGCCUCUCCUCUUCUCUGCUCUUGCUUCAUUUUGUCUCGGGUCCUGCUGCUACAUUUCUUUGUGUUCCCUACCUCCAACCUCUCGCUGCCUUCAAUAAAAACCCCUGUCUUACCACUCUCACUAUCUGUCUAUCAUUCCUCCACUGGCCUUUAAGUAUUGUUUUUACUUCUCCCCAUCCAUCACAUGCUGACUUAUGAGCAGCAGCUACCUGUUAAGAGCCAAUGCAGUGAAUAAAUGGACUACAGUAGUGCUCAAGUGUUUUUUUUUUUUCCAAAACAGAACGGGUUAAAUCAAUUUCACCCGAUGGUUUUGCUGCAAGUUAUAGUUCAUAUGCAAAACAAACACCUCCAGGUCAUACAUGUUUGCUCUUGUACUUUUGCAUUUGUAACUUUUUGGCUCAUGUACAUCCUCUCAGAUAUCAAAUAUGUAUGAGGAACUUCCAUUUUUUAGUAUUUCUUCUAAUACACACAGUUGAGUGUGAGGGUUUCUGCCAUAUGCUUUGUGAGGAAGUGAAAGAUUACCCUUUUCAUGGUCUCUCUAGACCCUUGGCUCACCCUGUAGUAGCGACUUAGAGUAAAUAGGAAGAAAGAGAAGCUGCCAUUGUGCAACUAUGUGGACUGGUGACCUAAUCUCCUUUUUCAACUUUUCAUGUUUGGCAAAGUAAGUCUAUGGACUGACUUUGUCGAACUUAAACCAACCAGCUUCAGUAACAGUGGAAACCAAGCCCGACAUGAACGCCACAAUGAUUUAGUUUCAGGCUUUCUACAUGAGCCAUUAAAUCUCAGUACUGAAACAUACAGUACUACCACAUAAUGACAUUAAUCGUAUGCAGUAACUAAUAGUAGUAUAGCCAGUAGUUGAGUUGUGGUGGAUGGUGGAUUUUAUUGUUCGGGACACAUAUUUUGUUCUGGUGACAGUGAGUGCACAUGGUGGGAAACCAACUGUGUACCCAUUCUAUUGUUGCUAAAGCACAAAGGUAACUAUUAUAUUACAUUAAUAAAAUGACAAGUGUCUUUUCACACGUGCCUCCUCACCCAGAGUAUUUUACUAAAAUUUGCGCAAAGCCCACUAGCGCAGGAUUCUCGCUCAAACAAUCAAAAUGUAGCGAAAAAACAGGUGUAGUUGGAAAAAUAUUGUGAUGGUGAUAUUUGUUUACAGUCGGCCUUCCAAGGUGCAGUGCAAAAAUAUUAACAAAAGUGCAAAAAAUGGUAAAAUACUACUUUCAAAAUGUACAAGGCAAAAAAGAAAAUACCAACAAGGCAAAACAAACAAACAAACAAACAAAAAAAAAAAACAAACAAACAGACACAGCAGCAAUACAAAAAUCAGUUUGGCAAUUACCUUGUGUGAAUUUCCCUGUCUGUCUGUCUGUCUGUCUAUCUAUCUAUCUAUCCUUCCUUCCAUGCAACAAACUCCAGACUCAAAGAAAGGCUCAGGCAGCCAUCUUUUAAACCCCCCUAGCCCCUCCCAGUGGGCGUUAUUAAUUACAUAAGCUAGAAAAAAAAAAAUCAUUUGUUCACAUUUAAACCAUUUUUACAAUUUUUAACCUUCAAACAUUUUUCUGUAAAUUUGAACCAUUUCAACUAGAUUUGUACAAAAAUCAAUAGAGAAUUCAUUUUUAGGGAUUCAUGGCAAACAACAAUGGAAUGGAUUAUUUUUUUUUUUGCAUCAUGUGACCACUUUGACCCGCCAGACCCAUCUAUUUUACACCCGGAAAUCAGGCGCUCUGUUUCUCUUUCGGAAUACUGAGCCGGCAUGAAGGCCUGAAUGAAUGAAUGGACGCCCGGCAGGUAAGUGGAAGGAUGAAUGUUGAUGUGAAUGCAUGACUAAAUUCGCCGAUAGAGCUCCAAGUGUGUACCCUCUGUUAAACUCUAUUCAACAGAGAAAGGAGAGGGAAAAGUGACGCAGUUUGGUACGUUGUUAGUGACGCUGGCGGGGAGGGAAAUGUUUGGCGUGUAUGUGGGUAUGUGUGUGUGUGUCUGUGGCUUUAUGCGCUGCCCGCGCAGUCAGUGAGGACGCCGCUCCUCAUACACCCUAAACGUCGAAAUGGUGGUAAUAUUUCUUAGGUUAAAAUAGUUGUAAUAUGUGCACAUUCAUUGACAAAAAAUGGCCCAUUUAAGGGAUGGAAAGUUGGGAUGACCGUUUCAGAAGUAUAGCUCUGUUCUGUGAGGUCUCUGUCCUUCCAUGUGCGAACCUGGGGUGCUGAGGCCUGAGGCGAGGAGAACAGGAGGAGCAAGGGCAGGGAGAGCAGCAGCAAAGACCCUUAGGUUACAGAACAGAGUGGGCACCAGGAGGUGGAGAGGCUGGGUUUGCUGUGAGUUUAAAAGAAGUUUGUGAAGGAAGCCAAAAGGCAGAGAAAACUGAAGCAUAUUAAAUUAAACGCCCACUUUGAUGUUUGUCAAUUUGAUGUAUACUGGAGAAGGUGGCUGAGCUGCCAGCUGACAUUGGCAGGCUGAUGUACUGUGGGCUGAGCUUGACUUUAUGGCCUAAUGAUAUGCUCAAGUGUGUACCAUCAAUGAUAGACAACCAAACAAAAAUAAAAGUUUCCUUUAAUAUAAAUAUUAAAAAAUGUAUUCGUGAAUGCACAAAUGUCCUUUUUAGUUUUAACAAGGGUUCCGGACAGUCCGUAUAAUCUCAAAAAGUGUCUCCAUUACUGGAGUUAAAUUCUGGAAUGAUGCCAACAUAAAUCUAAAUCUAAAUCUAUAAUUAUCUGUUGUUGUGGUUACUUUGAGUUUCUUUGCGUUUCUGGAGGUCGGUAGCCUAAAAAAGUUGACAAUACAGGAUAGGUUUAUAUAAGCAGUCUGCUUCUGCCUUUUCAGUCAAUAUUCAACACAUGAUUCUUGAUUUAGUGAUUUAGUGUGAAAUGUCAAUAUUGUGUACAAUAUUUGGUGUUGUCAUGACCGAAUAAACGACUACUACUACUACUACUACUACUACAUGUGCAAGGUAAAGUUGAUCCUUGGACUUAUAAAUCUCGGAAGGAUAUUGUAGUUUACAUUCAUGCUUCAGUGAUGUUGUGUAUUUAUUAACAAAGGACCCCAUUAGUCAUUCCUGUGUCUAUUCAAAACUGUCUUUUCCCAAGGUUGCUAGACUAAGAACUAUCUAACAAUAUUCAAACAGUAUUGAAGGGAAGAUUUGAAUAGUUCGUUCAUAAAUGUGUGACUGAAACAACUAGUGCUUUAGAUGGUUGAUAUAGAGCUAUUUUUUUUACCACAUUUUGGAGCAAAUUAUUUCAAGUUUUGGUUCAAACAUUGCAUCAUGUCUUCAUAUCUCCUCUACAUGAAAGUACCAGUGAAGAAACUGGGAACUGUGCAGGAGAUAAGCAAUGUUUUUCCUCGAAUUGUUUCAGAGUCAGAGUGCAAAGUAAAACUGAAUCAUGCAAACUAUAGCUGUAAAUUUAAAUGCAAACUACACUACAUUUUCAUAGAUUGAUCAUGCACUUUUCCAGCUGAUCUGAGCUUUUUCUGCAGGAUACAAUAGAACUAACAUCCUCCACAUCAUAUCUUUGAGCUUGAAGUGAGCAGCCUCUUUUUUUUUUUUAAAGAACAAAAACCACAACAAAGUUUAGCGGCAUGAAAGCCUGCAGAGACUGCAGCAACAACACUGUUGUAUACUCAUUUAUACGAGGCCCUGUGUGGCAGAGAAAAUCCCCUUACACUGUGCUCUUUGUUUGAUUUUCGGCUAAUCUCUUUGGCCAAUGCACUAUUUUUCUUCUGCCAUGAGUGAGGGAAAGUGCUAACUUAUCAUUUUAGAGGGGGUUAAGAAUUAAGCAGCUUAUUCAGUACAUGCAUUUACAGUCAUGUUUAACAAUACGAUUGUCAGCUUUUUCUAACUGGUUUAGUUUUGACAUGGUUCAGAAUUUUAUUUUCCCCCUCAUGACUCCUGCCUGGGCCAAACUCCAAUUCAUACGAUGGAUAAUGAAAAACACAAAGUCGCCUAAUUUCUAUUCUCCUCACAGAUGUGGGUCUAUUGCUAGGAGAUUGGGAGUGAUUGUGUUCAGGCACUCGGGUCUGUGGGGGGGGGACUCAAGAGUCAGGAAUUAGGUAGGAUGUCACUGUGUCUUUUGAGAAAGACCAAGCCAAAAGCACAUGAAUAGAGAGAGAAGGACACGCAAGAAAGGAUAUUUUAAGAGAAAACACUCCCAGCGUGAAAGCAAAGUACUGCUUUGUUUUGUUUUCCUAGAAAACAAGAUUACCUGAAUUACCUUAGGAAUGAAAAGGAUGAGAGCGUUUCAGUUUUUUCUGGUUGUUUUCUAUCUUUCUUAACCAAACAAGUUAUUUUUUUUCAUCAUGACUACGUAAUCUGAUUAGACACAAAGCAUUCUUGGAGUGCAAAUACUGAGCAUAACAGUAAUGGGGUGUUUAACACGAUCUACGGAGUUCCUUAAGAUGGGGUCUUUGAAUUACACUUAAGAGCAGCAGCUGCGGACUGACUCUUGUUUUACUGGUUGCAGGGUUAAUAUAUGAAAUAACCAUAUCUAGGGCUGGGCGAUAUGGGAAAAAGUUUAUAUAUUUUUUCAUAUCAGUCUAUAUCAGGGGUGGGUAAUUCAUUUUACAUGAGGCCACAUAAGAAACCUGAACUGUGUUGGAGGGCCAAACCAACAAUAACUUUAAAUUCAAAUCAGGGGGGUUCACACAUACAGAAAGCAAGCCCAAAUAAGCAACUACUAGUUAAAAAGAAGCCCAGACUCAUGAGUUUUACAAGCGACUUCUGAGUAAAACAAGCUUUAAGUCUUUUUUAAUAAGCGAACUGAGCAACUAUAAGGCACCUACAUAAAUUUUGCCGAUGUUUAAAUUGUCUCUGUUCACAAAUGUAAAUCUAGGAUGUACGUCCAAAAGGAAAUAAAACAAUGGCUAGGUUUUCAAAAUAAAAGCCACACACUUUUAUAGCAUGUUGAUGAUUUGACUGACAGACCUCCCAAACGGCCGGGCAGGGACAUCCAAAGGGCCGGAUGUGGCCCUCAGGCCAUAAUGCCCAGGUCUGGUCUAUAUUGAUAUCAGGAUAUAAAACCAUGCUAGUAACGGGUUGGACCCCCUUUUGCCUUCAGAACGGCCUCAAUUCUUCGUGGCAUAGAUUCAACAAGGUGCUGGAAGCAUUCCUCAGAGAGCUUGGUCCAUAUUGACAUGAUGGCAUCACACAGUUGCCGCAGAUUUGUCGGCUGCACAUCCAUGAUGCGAAUCUCCCGUUCCACCACAUCCCAAAGAUGCUCUAUUGGAUUGAGAUCUGGUGACUGUGGAGGCCAUUUGAGUACAGUGAACUCAUUGUCAUGUUCAAGAAACCAGUCUGAGAUGAUUCCAGCUUUAUGACAUGGCGCAUUAUCCUGCUGAAAGUAGCCAUCAGAAGUUGGGUACAUUGUGGUCAUAAAGGGAUGGACAUGGUCAGCAACAAUACUCAGGUAGGCUGUGGCGUUGCAACGAUGCUCAAUUGGUACCAAGGGGCCCAAAGAGUGCCAAGAAAAUAUUCCCCACACCAUGACACCACCACCACCAGCCUGAACCGUUGAUACAAGGCAGGAUGGAUCCAUGCUUUCAUGUUGUUGACGCCAAAUUCUGACCCUACCAUCCGAAUGUCGCAGCAGAAAUCGAGACUCAUCAGACCAGGCAACGUUUUUCCAAUCUUCUAUUGUCCAAUUUCGAUGAGCUUGUGCAAAUUGUAGCCUCAGUUUCCUGUUCUUAGCUGAAAGGAGUAGCACCCGGUGUGGUCUUCUGCUGCUGUAGCCCAUCUGCCUCAAAGUUCGACGUACUGUGCGUUCAGAGAUGCUCUUCUGCCUACCUUGGUUGUAACGGGUGGUUAUUUGAGUCACUGUUGCCUUUCCAUCAGCUCGAACCAGUCUGGCCAUUCUCCUCUGACCUCUGGCAUCAACAAGGCAUUUCCGCCUACAGAACUGCCGCUCACUGGAUAUUUUUUCUUUUUCAGACCAUUCUCUGUAAACCCUAGAGAUGGUUGUGCGUGAAAAUCCCAGUAGAUCAGCAGUUUCUGAAAUACUCAGACCAGCCCUUCUGGCACCAACAACCAUGCCACGUUCAAAGUCACUCAAAUCACCUUUCUUCCCCAUACUGAUGCUCGGUUUGAACUGCAGGAGAUUGUCUUGACCAUGUCUACAUGCCUAAAUGCACUAAGUUGCCGCCAUGUGAUUGGCUGAUUAGAAAUUAAGUGUUAACGAGCAGUUGGACAGGUGUACCUAAUAAAGUGGCCGGUGAGUGUAUAUCACGAUAUAAAAAUGAAAUUUAACAGUGAUUAUUGGUAGCAUGUCUUUUCCUAAACAAUAAGCUACUGCAUCUGUGAGGUCUUUGUGUCUCUUCGACAUUUGGUUGUCAGGCAUUGCACAAGAGAAAGCAGACUGAAUGGUCGGCUGUUUCGGCUGCACAGGCGCUGUGGGCUCCUUGCUCUGCUCAAGGUUUUGUAACCUUUUGCCUUGUGCGUGCUCUCCCGUGAUUUCCACACCGCCGACGUUUUUGUGCAAGUGUUGUUGACGAUCUGUUGAGCCUUCAUCUGCAUUUCUGUCAGGGGUAACACUCAUUUUCUUGUUUUCUCACUGACAGUGCUGUUAGCUUCACGUGUAAAAGUGCUACGGCUAUGUGUAGCUGUGGCCUGCAACUACGCAGUUGUUCGCUACUUGGUUCUAAUUCAGCACAUGAUUGGUCCAGCGCAAAGCGGACCUGGAGCAACUCAGCUUUACAUUGGCUAUCUUUAUAGUUUACCAAAACAUGGCAGAAUGCUGGUUAUCGAAAAGCAUAUCGACCAUGUUUUGUAUUGAUAUUGAGGGAAAUUAAUUUUCGAUAUAUCGUUUUAUCGCCCAGCCCUAACUGUAUUAAUUACUAACAAUAAACCAAAGUAUUGUAUUCAAUAGUGUCUCUGUGAAGAAAAAAAGAUGGAUUUCCUUCUGACAAAAUAUAGCCAGAUUAUUAGAGGUGUAGAGCCACAGUCGAAAACUUGACUGCAGGUCAUGAUCCUCUUUGGUCACCACAUGUUUUGGAGUCUACUCUGUGCUGGUCUGACGGUGCUUUCACAGCUCAUCUCUCAUUCAGCACUGGCUGGAAUAGGCUCAUGUUUUUUACAAAAAAAUAUCCAGAAUUGACAUAAUAAGAACAGCGUGUCUGAUUUAGAUCAGGAUUAUUCACGUGUGUCUGUCAGUGCAGUCUUAUGUGUGACACAAAGCUCUCAGAGCACACUCCGCUGUGCUCCAUUGGCCCCAUUAGCAGCUGCUGUGAGUCACUGAUGUCAAUGUUAACACACUGUAUCCAGAGCUGGUGGCAGAAUAACUCAUUUCUAGGAAAAGUGCAGCAAAACGUACUACAUAUGAAAUGACAUGCAGCCUAUUUCCUUUUCUCCUGCAGCCAUUAGAGAGAAAUGGAUAUAAUGUGGAGCAUACAGAGGAUGUACAACACACGCUGUUUAUGGAUUUGUUUGGUUUCUUUUACCAGCAGGAGAUCAAUUUAUUUGAAUCAAACUAAUGUACUCUGGAGGGGAAAAAAACAGGUGUGUAUGAAGCUUAAAACAUAACAUGUAAUAUGUAAGAAUCCAGACUGAAUUGGGAAGCUCACCUCUGGUGUGGUUAAGAAUAACAGAUGAAGAGCUCUUGUCAGAAAUAUAAUUAAAAUAGCUGACAAUUUAUGUUCGUCCCGUUCAGUGAUUGUAAUAACAGAGCAGGGGAAAGAGUUGCACAGGUUUUAGAGGUUCAAAUCAAACCCUAACCUCAGAGUGAGUGUCUCAAAUAUUCUAAUCAAGGUAAAAUAUCAUAAGACUGUGCGCAAACUGUUCCCUUUCAAUCAACAUAAACGUAUCAAUCAAGUCAUCUGUCAUUUCAGUCUGUUUCAUAACCUGUAAAAAAAGAGCUUCAAGGCAAAGUUGAGAAACUGAUUACAACAUUUUCUGGUAUUAAAUUGUAAAAAUUUUAUCGCACAUUUUACCGUAACAGUCAUUCUUGGCUUCCACUGCAGGUCUCCACACUUUAGACACUCUUACAGAUACCUGAAACGGUUCACAUGGGGUUUACUUUUAGGAUCUGUUUGCUGUUUUCUUUCUGACUGACUGAAACGGAAACAUCUUCAGGAGUCGGGAUAAGCUGUGUGGGCUCACAGACAGAUGGGCAGUUUUACAAGCAAAUAAAUUCCAUAAAUCUACUGAUGCUGUUAAAGACGCCAUCAAACCCAACUGUUUCAUGUUCUAUGCCUCUAUUAAAAACAUGGUUGGGAAUGAAUGAGGACAGGACCGGCUGUUGUUUGGGCAACAAUGACAACCAAAUGGUGUAUAAUGACAAAAACCUCCCUGAUCAGACGUGUUUCAGUGAUGCAAAUUAGUUUAAAAGCAUUGUUCCAAUUCAGCCACUGUUAAACGUGGAAGAGGACUAAAUAUAUCCUGUUUGAUCUGUUUGUCUGAAGCGCUGUCGAGGAUCCUGUCCUGACAUAUAACCUCUAAAACACCUGUUCAUUGUGCUGAGGAGGAUAUUGAAAUCCAAACAAGAGGACCAACCUGGACAGGUGUAUUAGUACACCGCCCUCUAGUGGACAUUUGCAGGUCAGCAUAAUCCACCAAACACACCAUAGAGUAAACUGUGUUUAAUCUGAUGCCUUUCUUUUUUUAUUAGGAAACAGAUCCAACUCAGAUCCAACAACCAUUUGGAUGAUACGUUUACAUUAUGCUCGGGAAUAGAAUUUAACAAGAUUUUCUUUAUAAGUACAAAAUUUUCUACAAGCUGCUAUGUGGCCAUGGCUGUCAAACACUCUCAUCUCAUCUGAAGUGGAAAUGCCCUGAAAGUGUUCGGGUCCCACUUUCCUAAUUUAAAAUAAUUACAAACUUCUAUUAAUUUAAUCUAAUUUGACUUUAACCCUUUAUUCCCUUUCAUAUCAUUUUUGAUACAUACUUUUAUGAUACUUCUAUCAAAUCAAUAUGAUCAACAAAUUACUAAAAAAACACUUGAAUACAUUCCGAUAAAUGAUAAAAAUCAGUUUCCAAAAACAUUUAAUGUAUCAAACAAGAAAAAUAAAUAUAUUUGUUAAAUUUUAACGACAUUUUGAUUUUUCUGUUUUUCAGCAGUAAGUGAAAUAAACAUUUCAGCUCCCAAAAAAUUUGAAUUUUCUGGCCAUAAUUUGCAGUUUCAGGCAUUAAAGGGUUAAUGAAUGUCCGUCUUUCAAUUCUGAAUCUUUACAGAGCUGCAUCAUUGGAAUCUGUGCUGAACUGCUCUGGAUUAAUCUGACAAAAACUGGGAAAAACAUGGAAAACAUGGUACAGCCAAACACCUGAGAAGAGCUAAAUCAAAGAACUUAAAGCUCCUGUUAAGACUCUUUAUCUGGUUUUCAAACAGUGUUAUUAAUGCUGAUGCCUCGAACUAGAGCAUUGGGAGGAAGACUGAAUACUUCUAUUCAUUUUUUCCCACCAAAUUUGACACUAGCAGAAAGUUCCUCAUGGGGGGGCUUUGAAACGUUAAAUUCGGCUCAGCUGUUGCCUCGUACACAGAAAGCAGUCUACUGUAACCCAGGGAAACAAACUGCUAGAUCAUAUACUCCCCAGAUCAUUUGUGUCUCCCGCCUGAGUGAUUGGAUUUCAAAGCGUUCCCAUAACUCUAUUUAAAACUGUCUAUUCAAUGUUGAUAUUGUAUUUAAUGCUAAAUGGUAUCUCUUGUAUUUUAAGGAAGGAUUACAGCUCAGGAAAAGACAGAUUUUGUGUAUUUUAGAAACAAAGGGAUCAGAGAAAUCAUGACAAGUGAAACCCUGUAAAUGAGACCACACAGGAUCCUGUCAUCAGCAGGUUUUAAUCUCUAAAGAGUGUUUUUCUGUGUCACUUAUUCUCCUGAAGAGAAAACAUCUUAAUGAUAACGCAGAGCCCUGAGGGGCCACUUUGCUUGAAAUAACCGCAUCAGAAAACCAUUCAUCAUUCCCCUUCUGUCUGCGCUUAAGAGCUUUUUAACCUCGACAACACUCGAGAUUCAGAUUUACCUCCAGAGCAGGCUCGCGCUGUCAGGGAAACAUGAUUAUUGUGUUCUGUGCCAACAAUGACAGUUUUUAUCAGUCAUUACUCAGAUUUAUUGUUUUCAUGUAAAGGCACUCUGUGUAGUUCUGAUUCACAUUCACACCCACGAGCACAAAAACUACAGACUAACGUAUGCUUCUCUUAAAGGGAUAUUCCAGCAUAGAAUUAAGUAAGGGUCAAACACAUCGUAACACCGAGCUAGACACGCCGUCGAGAGAUGAAUGUUGCCGACCGCUUGCUUUUCUAGUCAUACCAACUUUUCUUUAUCAUUUCCUUGAAGUAAUAAUCAUCAUAUUAAUCAUUUUGCACUGCAGACGCCGUAGUUCUUCUGCCUCAGUGUCUCUGUCUGAUUGCAUGUCCACUAAGUAAUGAUCAUCAAUGUUCUUCCUUGAGCUGCGUCACUCCGCAGCAGUCGAUGGAUUUGCAUGGAGUUCUCCGUACUUAAGCAGCUGCUGGAAGAGAGUAGGUGAGUUGUGUUUAGUCUCUUUGCUAAAGAAAUCAGGCAAAGCUAAAAAGAUGUUUGGGUGCUAGUGCUGUGGCUGGGACCC
rnacentral:lncRNA from 1 species